UGCACUUGUAUCGGUUCUUGUUUAACCUGCGCAGACUGACACAGGUGCAACGGGUAAACCCUCUUCUGCAACCCAGAACUCAUCGACCACUAUGAGUUUUGAUACAAACAAGCAGGAAUAGG
ensembl:snoRNA